rnacentral:rRNA from 1 species
UGGCGGACGGGUGAGUAAUGUCUGGGAAACUGCCUGAUGGAGGGGGAUAACUACUGGAAACGGUAGCUAAUACCGCAUAACGUCGCAAGACCAAAGAGGGGGACCUUCGGGCCUCUUGCCAUCGGAUGUGCCCAGAUGGGAUUAGCAGUAGGUGGGGUAACGGCUCACCUAGGCGACGAUCCCUAGCUGGUCUGAGAGGAUGACCAGCCACACUGGAACUGAGACACGGUCCAG